CAGUCGCCGCGGGAAUACGUAGGUCCCGAGCGUUGUCCGGAUUUAUUGGGCGUAAAGCGAGCGCAGGCGGUUAGAUAAGUCUGAAGUUAAAGGCUGUGGCUUAACCAUAGUACGCUUUGGAAACUGUUUAACUUGAGUGCAAGAGGGGAGAGUGGAAUUCCAUGUGUAGCGGUGAAAUGCGUAGAUAUAUGGAGGAACACCGGUGGCGAAAGCGGCUCUCUGGUCUGUCACUGACGCUGAGGCUCGAAAGCGUGGGUAGCGAACAGGAUUAGAUACCCGCGUAGUCCCUGUCUCUUAUACA
rnacentral:rRNA from 1 species